rnacentral:rRNA from 1 species
GACGAACGCUGGCGGCGUGCCUAAUACAUGCAAGUAGAACGCUGAAGGAGGAGCUUGCUUCUCUGGAUGAGUUGCGAACGGGUGAGUAACGCGUAGGUAACCUGCCUGGUAGCGGGGGAUAACUAUUGGAAACGAUAGCUAAUACCGCAUAAUAGUAGAUGUCGCAUGACAUUUGCUUAAAAGGUGCAAUUGCAUCACUACCAGAUGGACCUGCGUUGUAUUAGCUAGUUGGUGAGGUAACGGCUCACCAAGGCAACGAUACAUAGCCGACCUGAGAGGGUGAUCGGCCACACUGGGACUGAGACACGGCCCAGACUCCUACGGGAGGCAGCAGUAGGGAAUCUUCGGCAAUGGACGGAAGUCUGACCGAGCAACGCCGCGUGAGUGAAGAAGGUUUUCGGAUCGUAAAGCUCUGUUGUAAGAGAAGAACGAGUGUGGGAGUGGAAAGUUCACACUGUGACGGUAUCUUACCAGAAAGGGACGGCUAACUACGUG